AGGAAGAGAAACUAACCAGGAUUCCCCCAGUAACGGCGAGUGAAGCGGGAAGAGCUCACCUUGUAAAUCUGGCUUUCGGGCCCGAAUUGUAGUCUGGAGAGGCGUGGCCAGCCGCCGCCCGGGGCGAAGUCUCUUGGAAAAGAGCAUCAUGGAGGGUGACAAUCCCGUUCUUGCCUCGGUGCCGGCGCGCGGACGGCCCGUUUUCGAAGAGUCGAGUUGCUUGGGAUUGCAGCUCAAAGUGGGUGGUAAAUUCCAUCUAAAGCUAAACACGGGGGGGAGACCGAUAGCGAACAAGUACCGUGAGGGAAAGAUGCAAAGAACUUUGAAAAGAGAGUUAAAGAGUGCCUGAAAUUGCUGAAAGGGAAGCGAAGGAAAGCAGUGUCUGACGGUCUCGCUUCUCCGUUGCCCCUCGGGGCGGCGGGCUUGCGUCUCCGUCGUGGCCAGGAGCGGGUGAGGUCGCGGGAUGCUUCGGGUCGGAAGGUAGGCUCGUCCGCGAGUCGAAUACCGUCCCGUUUCGUCGCGAUCUCGGCCGGUCCUGACGAAAUGCUUUUCUUCAC
rnacentral:rRNA from 1 species